UACGUAGGGUGCAAGCGUUGUCCGGAAUUAUUGGGCGUAGAGAGCUCGUAGGUGGCCUGUCGCGUCGGCUGUGAAAACUCGGGGCUCAACUCCGAGCUUGCAGUCGAUACGGGCAGGCUAGAGCUCGGCAGGGGAGACUGGAAUUCCUGGUGUAGCGGUGAAAUGCGUAGAUAUCGGGAGGAACACCAGUGGCGAAGGCGAUCACCUGGGGUUGUUCGUGACGCUGAGGAGCGAAAG
rnacentral:rRNA from 1 species